UGGGGAAUAUUGGACAAUGGAGGAAACUCUGAUCCAGCAAUUCUGUGUGUGUGAAGAAGGUUUUAGGACUGUAAAACACUUUUAGUAGGGAAGAAAAAAAUGACGGUACCUACAGAAGAAGCAACGGCUAAAUACGUGCCAGCAGCCGCGGUAAUACGUAUGUUGCGAGCGUUAUCCGGAAUUAUUGGGCUUAAAGGGCAUCUAGGCGGUAAGACAAGUUGAAGGUGAAAACCUGUGGCUCAACCAUAGGCUUGCCUACAAAACUGUUGAACUAGAGUACUGGAAAGGUGGGUGGAACUACACGAGUAGAGGUGAAAUUCGUAGAUAUGUGUAGGAAUGCCGAUGAUGAAGAUAACUCACUGGACAGAAACUGACGCUGAAGUGCGAAAGCUAGUGGAGCAAACAGG
rnacentral:rRNA from 1 species